rnacentral:lncRNA from 1 species
GUGUUUUUACAGAGAGGAACGAGGACACAGUGACAGAAGCCCCUGACAGCCUGAUGCUCAUUGAGAAUAUGGAGGAUGAAAAGGACACGUUGUCAAACUUGGAUCGGCCUACUAUGUCUAUGGAGAUGAUGAAGACACGUAUGCUCGUAGAAGUG